rfam:Schistosoma haematobium scaffold165_67, whole genome shotgun sequence.
ACCAACUGACGAGUCUCAAAUAGAACGAAGCACGCGUCCUGGAU